rnacentral:lncRNA from 1 species
GUGGGACUAUACUUGGUAGUUGUUGUUGUUGUUGUUGCUAAAGACAAGGAUGAUACGCUACUAGAAAAUCGACGAACUAGGCACCAAAUAAUAUAACAUAAGGGAAUCAAACUAAGAUUAUAACAUAAGGGAAUCAAACUAAGAUUAUAACAUAAGGGAAUCAAACUAAGAUUAUAACAUAAGAGGAUAUGGAAAAUUCAAUAUGUGGGAUGGAGAUGUUCUUCUCAAUCUUGGUUGCUUUGAGACCUGGAAAGUUUAGCUUUUAUACGUCACGUAAUCUCUCAACAUAAAAAUGAAAGGUUAAUAAAUAAACUGAGCACACACCCUCAGAUGAACUCUCCUGGUUGAUAGCAAAAGAACAUAUAAUAAAUUAGCAGUCAGCUAUAUAUGGUCAAUAAAUCCUAACUUUUCACAAAAUCCCACUUGCCAUUCUCUAGUUACCAAUUAGAUGUAAAACCAAUACACUUCUUGUACUGCCCUUGAAAACAUAUGAGUCAAUUUGUAGAAUAUCCCAUUACUUAAUUUUGUAGAUUUACAUCGAAAUAUCCACCAACAAAUGGAUCUUUUUCUAUUUCUUCCCAUUUACAGCCUUCUGAUGGAGUUAAAUUUUUUGAUGAUUUCUUGGCCAAUAAGGUAAAAUUUUCCAUACAUUUCUAAUUGUGAACGAGAGAGAAGUAUACAUUCUUCAGUCUAGAAAACAUAGAAACACUAGGAAAGAAAAGAAAGCUACAAAACAUAUAACUCUACGAUAUAAAGAUGAACCAGAGAACCUGUAAUCAGAGGAGUGACACACCAAAAGCCUAUUAACCGGUCAAUUCUCUGUUCAAAUUUCUGUCCGGCGCCGGUGAGAGCAGCUAGUCCAACCCACCCACCUCUCUCCCUCUCUCUAUAUCUCGUUGGCUAUGCCAUUUGGAGAAAGUUUAUGUUAUGUUUCACACUACUUGUGGAUGGCGGUCCUUGUCAGCAAAAAUAAUUCUUACCCAACUGCUUUAAUUUUUGCUUGUCCAUUUUAUACUUUAAAAAAUUAUAAAUAAGAUAUA